GAGCCAUUAGCUCAGUUGGUUAGAGCACGGUUCUUAUAAAGCCGGGGUCGCUGGUUCAAGCCCAGCAUGGCUCACCA
rnacentral:tRNA from 1 species